CCUACGGGAGGCAGCAGUGAGGAAUAUUGGUCAAUGGACGGAAGUCUGAACCAGCCAUGCCGCGUGCAGGAAGACGGCUCUAUGAGUUGUAAACUGCUUUUGUACAAGGGUAAACCUGAAUACGUGUAUUCAGCUGAAAGUACUGUACGAAUAAGGAUCGGCUAACUCCGUGCCAGCAGCCGCGGUAAUACGGGGGAUCCAAGCGUUAUCCGGAUUUAUUGGGUUUAAAGGGUGCGUAGGUGGAUUGAUAAGUUAGAGGUGAAAUGUCCGAGCUUAACUCGGGAACUGCCUCUAAUACGGUGGAGCUAGAGGGUUGAUGAGGUAGGCGGAAUGUAUGGUGUAGCGGUGAAAUGCUUAGAGAUC
rnacentral:rRNA from 1 species